rfam:Kwoniella mangroviensis CBS 10435 unplaced genomic scaffold supercont2.1, whole genome shotgun sequence.
AUCUACGGCCAUAGAACCUGUGAAACAUCGCAUGUCGUUAGCUCUGCGCAAUUAAGUCAGGUAUCGCUCGGUUAGUACCAAGGUGGGGGACCACUUGGGAAUCCCGGGUGCUGUAGUUU